rnacentral:rRNA from 1 species
GAAGGGUGCAAGCGUUACUCGGAAUUACUGGGCGUAAAGCGUGCGUAGGUGGUUUGUUAAGUCUGAUGUGAAAGCCCUGGGCUCAACCUGGGAAUGGCAUUGGAUACUGGCAGUCUAGAGUGCGGUAGAGGGUAGCGGAAUUCCCGGUGUAGCAGUGAAAUGCGUAGAUAUCGGGAGGAACAUCCGUGGCGAAGGCGGCUACCUGGACCAGCACUGACACUGAGGCACGAAAGCGUGGGGAGCAAACAGGAUUAGAUACCCUGGUAGUCCACGCCCUAAACGAUGCGAACUGGAUGUUGGGGACACUUAGGUCUUCAGUAUCGAAGCUAACGCGUUAAGUUCGCCGCCUGGGAAGUACGGUCGCAAGACUG